rnacentral:rRNA from 1 species
AUGAUUCAUCGCUUAUAUAUUAGUUGGAUAGUAUCUCUUUAUUCGGUUCUUGUGACUGACCUACUGCUUUACUUAUAUGGACAGCUUAAACUGAAAGCAAUGCAUGGUAUUGUUCAAUUCGAAGUGUACUUGACGUGUGCAGAUCUAAGGAUGAAGGGAAGAAGACAAAAUUUAGCUGAAGAGUUGAAUAAGAUUAAGGUUAUUAUUCCACAAUCAUUUAUUGCAUCCAUUAUGUCUUCACCCAAUCCAUCUCUCUCUCUCUGCUGGCUGCCGCCACACGUGGAUGGUAGUGGUUCAUUUUCCUAUAACAUUUGGCAUUUCUACAGUUUUAUCAUGUAUAGCUGGAUCCAGAAAAUGUAG